CACUGGCACAAGGAGGCAGGCAGCUGUGCAGGGUGAGCUCUGCAGUCUCAGAGAUGAAGGUGGAUUAAAAGUUCUGUGGCCACCCAUUUCCAUCCCAAGGAACACUGCAAUUUGCUGCUCCCUCGGUCUGCAUCUUGUCCCCUCCCUCUCUUCAUCACUCGUACUCAUAUUACCCUGGGAGCUGAUUAGCUCCUUCCCCCUUGUUAGUGUUCAACCAAUUUAGUGAGCUGAAUCAGUUCACUGCAGGGUCAGACAAGCACUGGGGCCCUCAGUGCUGGAGCAGAGGAUGGGACCGGGGCUGGGGCACACCUGGCUGCAGUUCGGGUGUUCUGCUGCCAUCACUUGUGAGACUGUGAGCCUCAGAAGGACUGGGCUCUUCUCUGUCUGCCUGACUCUGUAAAGAAAUGACCAUGGAGAAGUGUUUCUCGGUGAUGAAUUUCACACAGAAAUCAGAUCCAAGGUCGUCUUCUUCUCUGGCAGCAUCCUUUGGGAAAUGUACUCCAAAGACAGAGCUGAGAGUCUGGCAGCAAAUAAACCGAGUUUCAGUUCCAUCCCUUUUUCCUCUGUAGACCAGGGAGCCCCAGGGGGAUGGGAGUACCUGAGCAGUGUGGGGACCUGAUGGUGGGUGCCUGAGCUCAGAGCCCAUUGCCCUGAUUGAGGCUCUGGUGCAGUGAGGAAGAUCUGGGCAUAAUAUAGUGCACACUCUGUUCUGCAGUCUAGUCUGCUGCUCACUGCUAGGUUUACAGAGAAGAAAGCUGCUGCAUGCCAAAAUUACAUAAAUUCUGCUGGUUUCCUAUAGCCUAAGCCUCACAUUCACUAGGUAUGAUUACCUCAUGCUCACCUCUGCACCUGGGGAGUACACAAGGCCAACAAACAAGCCGAGCCAGAAAAAAGCUUCCUGGUUCCUGACAUCACUUUGCUUAUUCAGUGAAACGUGGUGUGCGAGGUCGGGGCGGGGGCACGUGGGGCUGCUGGGCGCAGUGCUUGUUUGUUGGGCUCAGCCUGGCCCUGGUGGGCUCUGCCAGGUGAGCUCUGGUUGCAGGAGGGCAGUGAGGGCAGUGUCACUCUGGGGGAGCACGAGCUGUUCCCUACUCACGUGGGCAAUGCUGCUCAGGAGGGUGAAACAUGAGCUUUUCUUCGCUGGAGGGCGGCAGGUGACGGUCAUGAACAACGACCAAGGCAGGAAAACCUCCGCAGAUAAAGAAGUGCCUUUUCAGCCCAAACAAGGGGUUUCAUAGACAAUUUUUAUUUGUUUUAGAAUUUGUGUUUCCCCGUGAAAACUUGAUAGAUUUUCCUUUUUAAAUCAAAAUAUCUUUUCAAGGGAAACAAGACCUCAUUUACCUUCCUCUGCGUAAAGCUUGCUGUCUUCUUCAGCUGUCCCAUGAGCUUGUAGGUAGAAGUUAGCACACAUUAUAUGGAACAGAAAGAUGAUCUAUAGUAAGGACCGCUGUGUUUUCAUUUGUAUGCGCUCCAUUCUUACGUGAUGCUUUGAGCCAAGUGAUGCUGGAGGCAGUAGGAAGGUGGGACAGGCUCAAGGCUCGCUGUCUUUAACUGCAGGUUUCACAAUACAAAGGAGCCGCACCAAUGAGGGAGGCACCACUGAUGCCUGGGCUCUGGCGUGCUCUCACUUUGCCAGACACCCAAAACCCAUGUGUGAGUGAGGCACUGUAGUGUCUCAACCACAGGUUGUGUCAUAAAGCAAAAUCCAUCCGCAUUUCCUCAGUUCCAGCCUUCGGGAACUGUUGGCUUUCCUUUCACCCGUCUGUCUGCCUUCCCGGCUAUUGCUACGAAGCGCUCUGCCACGCCUUGCUGCUCUAUGCCCUCAUCUAAGUCGUUAAUUAAAUCACUCAGUGGGAGCAUCAAGAUAGUCACGGGAUGGAACGAGUGAUCCCAUUGCUGCCACGGUUGUCCUCCUGCUCCCUCCCCACCCACCUCUUCCAUUUCGCUCCUGUUGUAUCAUGUCUCUGUGGAACAUUACCAUUUCAAGGCAGAGACUGUGCCAUUGUUUUCUGAGAACCACCCAGGAUAGUGAAGGGAGCUCAGUAAUAAUAACUAUUAUUAACACUGUGGUAGAGGGCGGAAUUUGGCUGCUGUAUCCUUUUUGUGUGCAGGGCUUUAUGCUGAGAUACACUGCUCUGCUCUGGCGUGUGCAUGCACUUGGAAAAAAUAGAGCAUAUGGACUUUUCUUCAGUUCCCAACAUUCCUGAAAGUACUUUUGAGUCAUUGUAGCUUGAAAAUGUCCUUUGCAGCGAGCUCCUCCUGUCCCUGUGCUGUGCGUGUCCCCGCUGGAUGAGCGGUGCUGCAGGCCACGAGGUGCCCCGUGAUAGCGGCUGUGAACAGGCGGCUGUGCUGCUGCGAGGUGGGGGGCUGGCGGGCACUGAGCAGCUCAGGAGCUGUUGCUGCAGAAGUGGGUCUGUGUGUAGGUCCCACUGUUCCUCAGCCUCAAGUCUCGCCUGUUUUUUUAACAUAAUUGACUUAAUUAGCUCAGUUGAAUGGGGAUUGUACAAUAAAUGGAAUCUACAUGCUUCCUCUGAGGAGUGGUGCUGUACACAGCAACUGGAGCAGCAGUGUUUCUUUAGCCCACACCAAACUCUUGGUUUGUACUGUGACUUGCAAAAGAAAUGAUGUCACUAAUACAACGACCACUCAUUUCUGUGUUUCUCAGUGGGUCUUCUGACAGGAUCGUUUCAGUGACUGCCCUCCAGCUCAGUAUUUAUUUCAAACAUCAGUUUCACAUCUAGUAAUAGCCAUUUACUUCUUUCUGAUUGUUUUGGUACCUGGUAAAGGGAGCAAAAGGGCAGAACCCUUCAGAAGCAGCAAGCACAUCCAAGUACAUCCAUUAUUGCAUUACCUCUGAUCAGGUUCUUGGAGCUUUGGUCACUUUUUUUUUUGUUUUGUUUUGUUUUGUUUUAAUUGAUUUUCUGAGUUAUUGAGGUUUGGAAUACAAAGUGUUCUUUGAUCCUUGGUACUGUUUUUUAAUACCCAAACUGUUUGAUGCUUCCUAUAGCAAAACGACAUCUUGCAGUUCAAUCAUCUCUCCAUUACAAAAUGAGGUCUGCAGGAUCCUCUGAUUUGUAUGGCUUAGGGGAGAACUUCCUAUCAGCUGGGACCGGAACUCAGUCUUUGGACCUCUUUUCUUCACCGUGUUUUAAGUCACUGUCUGACUCUUGCCAUUUAAUUAACUUUGUAGCACUUGACAGCAAAACAAGGAUGAUUUUAUAUUCACUCAGGAGGGUUAAGAUGCUUAAUUAGGCUGUGCUUUUGAAGUAGUUCCCUUAAUUCACUGCAGAAGAUCGGUGUAUUCAUGUAUAUCACAUGCACUGCAUUUAAAUAGGUUUAUACCAAGAGCAUUAGGUGAGUGUAUGCUUUGGAAGAACCUUGUGUGCACCUCUGCCCAUGAUAGCAUUUUGCGUCAGCUCACUUCUUUGAGUCAGAAAUGUAAAUGUGGUAAUCAAUAUCUCCGUGAGCCUGGAAGGCAAAGCCCCACAAUUAACAAUAACGUGCAGGUGAUAAUUAAGCUUGUUCUACAUGUCCCAGUUCUGGAGGCUGAUAACACAGACAAUCUCAGCUGCCUGGUCAUAGCUGAUAUUUGGGGACGGGCAGCAAGGAAGCUAAGAUAUUUUUUAAAAAGAUGAUGUGGUCAUGCAGGAAUGCAGUCAUGUGAAAAGUACCUAUGAUAGAGGGGGAAAAAAUGCUUCAUUCUUCCCUAGCUAGGUCUCUCCAUUUCUUCCCUGUGAUCAACAUAACACAUGUCAGAAACUGAGUUUACGUGGACCAAGACUUGGCACGUUGUACCAGCAAGGCAUUGGCUCCUGGUGAUGUGAGGCGCUGGCAAGGUGCUUGGGCCAGCGAGCAGCCCACACUAGGUGAUAAUUUAUGGCUACCUGUAAUCUCCUCUAAAUAGAAACCAUUUAUAUUCUUGCUAGGGAAGCGAGAAAUGACCAGACAAUGAGAGUUCAGCCAAACCAAACCUUCCUAUAACUCUGCAAAAGGCAAACGCUCUCUGGUACUGACAUUAACAAUGGUAUGGGCUCUUAGAAACCGUACAAUUUCGGUUUUAUUUAUUUUAAUACUGUUUGCCUGUGAAAUUUCAGAAGCUGGCAGUUUAUAAGAGCAGAAGCUGAGUUUUUACUCUUGGAUUUUGAUUCAGUUUCUUUAAAGCACAAGAAAGACUGAGCACCAGCCCAGUGCUGUGCAGCAUUUGUGCCCUCCCAAUGGGUGCUGUGUUGAUAACCCAAAGGUGCAAUACAACAGCCGUUACUCAGUGAUGCUGUUGAGCACUGCAGCAGUGGUGCAGAUGUUAUCCUUGCCCCACCCUGUGGUUUGGCAUCAUGCUGCCCUCCCUGCAAACUCCCAUCUAUGUGCUGGGAGGUAAGGACGGGUCUGGGGGUGCGCCAGGCCAUGGCCAGUGGGAGCUGUGCUGGAGGCAGUGAGUUUGGGGAAGGUGUUGGGCUUUGAAAAAAGCUGGUAGCCUGAAGGGGCAGCAGAGGCUGCUCUCAGUCCUCCAGGUACUUGGUCUGUGCUGCUGUGCUUGGGUGAAGGCUUCCAACAAUGGGCCUGAGGCCUCCUGUGGGAUCUGAUCACAUCAGGUCUUUGGGGGAUGCGCUUUGGUAAAUCAGAAAGUGAGCUCUCCACUCACAGGCCCUCUUCUCUCUCUAAGAUUUAGUAUGUCCAUAGUUGGCACCCAAAUGCUACGGUGUGAGUAUAGGCAUGCACUGAACUAACAGAUCCAGCUGGAGAAUCUCAGUUUGGAUCUACCUGUUUCUUGAACCUGGCUUAUUUAUAAGCUGAGAUCAAGGAUUCCACAUGACAUUUCCCCAAUCCCAUGGGUGCUAUGCCUAUUUCUGGUAUGAGCUAUUCUCUGCCCUGUCUGUCUGUAUGUGUUAUUUAUCUUUGCACAUGUGCCUAGCUUCAUGUUAUUAUUUAUGAAUGCUCCUCAUCAUUCUCCCAAAGAGAGCCCAACACUGCAAGGGGGCAGGGACUCUGUUUCUUACACACAGUAACUCAGUACAGCCUUUAGGCAUCACUGAAACUCAAAGCAUUCAUUCCAUUGAGUUUAGCCAGUAAAAAGCACUUCACCUGUCUCACACUUCUUGGAGUUUUACUGAUUUCCCUUCUGUGGAGCAACAACUUCACCACAAUUCUUCCCUUCUCUCUCUUUUAAAGUUUUCUUUUUUUUCUUUCUUUCUUUCUUUUUUUUUUUUUUUUUUUUUUGCUAACUGUUAAGCAAUUCCACCUGGAGAUGUGAGAACUUCACAGGCUGUAAAGCUUACAUCCUGCAAAUCUCCUUAUCCAGUAUUAAAAACAUCUAAAGGAGUGGAAGCACUGCUGAAAUAUAUUGUUAUGCUUAGGAAUGGACACAGGGAUGAGAUUUGCUCAACAAAAUAAUCUUUAUGGUUUUAGGAAUGGCACAGUGAAUUAAUAUGAAUCCAAUGGAAUUAUAGAAAUUACCUUCUACAGAAACAACUACUUUACAACAGUGAAGUUAAAGUCAUGAAAAAUAUCUUAAAAGCAGUUACUGUGAAAGUCCUUCUCUCCCCACAGUGACGUUUGCAAAGGGGAGACAUCUGUUUCUCAUGUAAAUUAAUACUUACACUUAAGAUACACAAUAGAAAUAUUUAUCAAAAAUAGGAUAAUGGCAAAGACUGAAAGGAUUGGUUUACGCACCCAUAGUGGAGGCAAGACAACACUUGCAAAUUGCGUAGAAGCACACUGAUCUUAAGUUGAAAUACUCUGUAUAAGCAUGGGAUUAUUCGUGUCUGUGUGUUUGUAUAUGCAUUUGUGUCUACGUACUUAGUAAUUGUUUCUAAUAGGUUAUGGUUUUGGAAAUACUAGCCUGUGCAAUACUAGUCCCAUCCUCAUAUUUACGUAAAACGUUUGCCAUUUUUCAUUGGCUUUAGUUCUUGUUAACUUAUGGAAAAGCUUUCUAGCUACACUUCCAUGCUCCGUUGUACCCUGCCAUCACCACAGCCAUACAGUGUGGUGCUCCCAGGCUUCUGUUUGAAACAAAGAUGUAAUGCAGAGCCAAGGAACUGCAUGAUGUAAAUCUGCAGAGUAUCCCAGUCCCUAUCACAGGCUUAUAUCUCCACUUGAUGAGUACUGAAAACCAAAGCCUGAUGUCAUGUGUGCAUUCUCAAAGGAACGAAGAAGAGCAUGUGAGCGUGUAGUUGUGUUACUGAAACAUCACCAUGUCUGUGCUGAACUGGAGGCAGCAGCAUGCAGAGCUUUGUGGUUCUUUAUGCCUUAAAGGAAAACCUUAUAACAUGUUUUUCUUCAUGUUGCCAUAACACUUUGUAUCUUAGCAAUAAAUACUGGGUAGAUUUAGUGUUAUCGCAAGAAAUUUGUGCUCCGGAGAUUUACUGUUCCACUCCCACAGCACCUUUAAACCCCACAUCAGUGGUAGGACAGCAAUUCCUGGCCGCCGUUAGGACCAAUUUACCUCAUUUCCUCUGUUUCAGCAAAGUGAGAUCGAAGAGGUUAGAAAAAUAACAAACAUAAAAACAGGAGGAAAGCUAUUGCUAACCUCUGCGUGUAACAGAGUCACACUUCAGAACAAGCCCAAAGGGUUCUGCUUGGCGGAGGCGAGGGGAAAUCUUUGUACUGCUGGGCUCACAUUGCUGCUUGUCGCUGUUGUCAUGUCUCAUCUGGGUGUCUUUAACAUGAAAUAAAAUAUUACCAUGCUAAGGACCAAAAAAGUGAGAAAUGCACUCAUCUGUGUCCCUGACUUGUGCCAAAGAAUUUUUCAUUCCUACCUCAGCUCUAAUGUGAAAUGUGUUAAAUGAAAAUCUCCAGGAGAGUAUCCAGAAUAGAUAGGCAUGUUUAGGUCAGCAUACCAUUUGGCAUUGCCAUGGACCUCGUCUCUAAUUACUAAAGAAAUAGUGAGUUAGUGACUUAAAGUCCACAGUGACUGUGACCUAAAUCAUUUCCAUUCUGGAUAGUGGCCUGAAAUAAAGAGGGCUUUUCAUUAGCGUGGCACAGAUUUAGUGUCGUGGGACAUGGAGUUUGUGCUUCAGAGGAAGUGCGGUCAAUGGGCCAUUAAGUUUUGAAACAAGAGGCAGACAUCUUCUAAUCUCAGUGCUGUUGACAAUAAAUAUUGGGG
ensembl:lncRNA